rfam:Cryomorphaceae bacterium BACL29 MAG-121220-bin83 contig00126_1_121220-bin83, whole genome shotgun sequence.
CGUACAGUCGGCCUUGUCGCCCUGAUUUUCAGGGAGGAAAGUCCGGACAACAAAGAGCACCGCGCUUCCUAACAGGAAGGCAACCAAAACGCAAGGGAAGGUUGACAGCUAGUGCCACAGAGAGGGAAACCGCCACGGUGCAUCGAUCGAGCAACGUGGUAAGGGUGAAAAGGUGGGGUAAGAGCCCACCAGCAUUGUAGGUAACUACAAUGGCUUGGUAAACCUCGCGGGUUGAAAUGCCGCGUAAACCGAUGCUUGAGGGCUGCUCGCCCAAUGUCGGAGGGUAGGCAGAUAGAGCAAGUGGGUGACUGCUUGCCUAGAUCAAUGACAAGGACGUGCCUCGGUACGGACAGAAUCCGGCUUAUACGGCUGUACGUUUA